AACGAACGCUGGCGGCAGGCUUAACACAUGCAAGUCGAGCGCCCCGCAAGGGGAGCGGCAGACGGGUGAGUAACGCGUGGGAAUCUACCCAUCUCUACGGAAUAACGCAUGGAAACGUGUGCUAAUACCGUAUACGUCCUUCGGGAGAAAGAUUUAUCGGAGAUGGAUGAGCCCGCGUUGGAUUAGCUAGUUGGUGGGGUAAAGGCCUACCAAGGCGACGAUCCAUAGCUGGGCUGAGAGGAUGAUCAGCCACACUGGGACUGAGACAAGGCCCAGACUCCUACGGGGGGCAGCAGUGGGGAAUAUUGGACAAUGGGCGCAAGCCUGAUCCAGCCAUGCCGCGUGAGUGAUGAAGGCCCUAGGGUUGUAAAGCUCUUUCACCGGUGAAGAUAAUGACGGUAACCGGAGAAGAAGCCCCGGCUAACUUCGUGCCAGCCGCCGCAGUAAGAC
rnacentral:rRNA from 1 species